CCUGGCUCACGUUGAGCGCUAGCUACAGGCUUAACACAUGCAAGUCGAGGGGCAGCAUUUCAGUUUGCUUGCAAACUGGAGAUGGCGACCGGCGCACGGGUGAGUAACACGUAUCCAACCUGCCGAUAACUCGGGGAUAGCCUUUCGAAAGAAAGAUUAAUACCCGAUGGCAUAAUUAGACCGCAUGGUCUUAUUAUUAAAGAAUUUCGGUUAUCGAUGGGGAUGCGUUCCAUUAGGCAGUUGGUGAGGUAACGGCUCACCAAACCUUCGAUGGAUAGGGGUUCUGAGAGGAAGGUCCCCCACAUUGGAACUGAGACACGGUCCAAACUCCUACGGGAGGCAGCAGUGAGGAAUAUUGGUCAAUGGACGAGAGUCUGAACCAGCCAAGUAGCGUGAAGGAUGACUGCCCUAUGGGUUGUAAACUUCUUUUAUAUGGGAAUAAAGUUUUCCACGUGUGGAAUUUUGUAUGUACCAUAUGAAUAAGGAUCGGCUAACUCCGUGCCAGCAGCCGCGGUAAUACGGAGGAUCCGAGCGUUAUCCGGAUUUAUUGGGUUUAAAGGGAGCGUAGGUGGACAGUUAAGUCAGUUGUGAAAGUUUGCGGCUCAACCGUAAAAUUGCAGUUGAUACUGGCUGUCUUGAGUACAGUAGAGGUGGGCGGAAUUCGUGGUGUAGCGGUGAAAUGCUUAGAUAUCACGAAGAACUCCGAUUGCGAAGGCAGCUCACUGGACUGCAACUGACACUGAUGCUCGAAAGUGUGGGUAUCAAACAGGAUUAGAUACCCUGGUAGUCCACACAGUAAACGAUGAAUACUCGCUGUUUGCGAUAUACAGUAAGCGGCCAAGCGAAAGCAUUAAGUAUUCCACCUGGGGAGUACGCCGGCAACGGUGAAACUCAAAGGAAUUGACGGGGGCCCGCACAAGCGGAGGAACAUGUGGUUUAAUUCGAUGAUACGCGAGGAACCUUACCCGGGCUUAAAUUGCAUUUGAAUAAUCUGGAAACAGGUUAGCCGCAAGGCAAAUGUGAAGGUGCUGCAUGGUUGUCGUCAGCUCGUGCCGUGAGGUGUCGGCUUAAGUGCCAUAACGAGCGCAACCCUUAUCUUUAGUUACUAACAGGUCAUGCUGAGGACUCUAGAGAGACUGCCGUCGUAAGAUGUGAGGAAGGUGGGGAUGACGUCAAAUCAGCACGGCCCUUACGUCCGGGGCUACACACGUGUUACAAUGGGGGGUACAGAAGGCAGCUACCUGGUGACAGGAUGCUAAUCCCAAAAGCCUCUCUCAGUUCGGAUCGAAGUCUGCAACCCGACUUCGUGAAGCUGGAUUCGCUAGUAAUCGCGCAUCAGCCAUGGCGCGGUGAAUACGUUCCCGGGCCUUGUACACAACGCCCG
rnacentral:rRNA from 1 species